rnacentral:rRNA from 1 species
UGGGGAAUAUUGCACAAUGGAGGGAACUCUGAUGCAGCGACGCCGCGUGAACGAAGAAGGCUUUCGAGUCGUAAAGUUCCUUUAUAUGGGAAGAUAAUGACGGUACCAUAAGAAAAAGCCCCGGCUAACUACGUGCCAGCAGCCGCGGUAAUACGUAGGGGGCUAGCGUUGUCCGGAAUCACUGGGCGUAAAGGGUUCGCAGGCGGAAAUGCAAGUCAGGUGUAAAAGGCAGUAGCUUAACUACUGUAAGCAUUUGAAACUGCAUAUCUUGAGAAGAGUAGAGGUAAGUGGAAUUUUUAGUGUAGCGGUGAAAUGCGUAGAUAUUAAAAAGAAUACCGGUGGCGAAGGCGACGUACUGGGCUCAUUCUGACGCUGAGGAACGAAAGCGUGGGUAGCAAACAGG